rnacentral:rRNA from 1 species
CCGCUGAACUUAAGCAUAUCAUUAAGCGGAGGAAAAGAAACUAACAAGGAUUCCCUUAGUACGGGCGACGGAAGCGGGAAAAGCCCACACUGGUAAUCUCCGUUCGGGAGGACGGCGAAUUGUAAUCUGAAGGACUGUGGCCAUGGCAGACAGGGGAGACGCAGAAGUGUCCACGAGCGGACCGCCAAAGAGGGUGAGAGCCCCGUCUCGUGUCUUCCCUUGUCAGGCCGCGAUCCAAAGAGUCGUGUACCUUGAUACUGGUGCACAAAGCGGGAGAUAAACUUCUUCUAAGGCUAAAUAUAUGUAGGAAACCGAUAGCGAACAAGUACUGUGAAGGAAAGAUGAAAAGCACUUUGGAAAGAAAGUUAAAAGACUUGAAAUCGUUGAGGCGGAAGCGGUAGAAAAGUAUUCUUCGCCAUGGUAGGUGGGAAGCCUGCGUCUGCGGGUCACUUCUUGCCUGGCGUGAGACAAGAUGGAGUCGGCUGGUGCCAGARGCGGCGCGGGCGGGGGCUUUUAGUUCCUGCACGUGUCAGUCCGGGUUGUCGGCCGGCUUGAGGGGCCUUGUGCGAUCUGAAAAUG